GUCACCUCAGCAUUUCUUCCUUUUCGUACGUGCGCGCGCGCGUGUGUGGUGUUUGUGUUCUUGUGUUGGUGUGUUCGUUCCCAGGGGCUUCUCAUUGAACUACAGCCUCGCCUUUUUGUAUAUUUUAGACAAGGUCUUAAAUCGCCAAAUGCCCAGGCUGGACUGGAACUUGCCACCAUCCUGCCUCAGCUCCCAGAGUGCUAGGAUUGCGGGCGUGCAUCACCACACCCUGCCAGCCCAUCAAUAUUUCUUGAGAAGGUAAAAAAAGGAGCAUCGUAGAGAAACAGCUUUUCAACUGUAACAAAUCCUAUUUAUUAGACAGUUUACAUUUCCCAUGAGACGUUUAAGGCUUUCACUUUCACGCAAGAAGAAAUGGGUCUGGAUUUAGUGUCCCACACUAAGCAAUUGGCAAACUAAACAAAACACAGAGUACAUGAAACUACUCUUCGGGCGUGGUCUACAGGUGACUCUGGAGUGUUCUACGGGAAAGAAGAGGAACAAGCAAGAGGAGCCCUUUAUCACCUUGACUUACUGCCUACAAGCAGUUGUCAGUCUGUAAGGCAGGGAAAGGAAACAGAGUCCCAGGGUCUUCUGAGUUGAGAAGAUAGGAAUUGGCGUUAAGGCACUUGGAGGACAAGCUGGUUGUAAAUCUGCUUAGGAGUACCUUUGAAUCUUUAACUGAAUAAAAAUCAAGCCAGGAAAGAACAGUUACUGGGGAGCAGUAAGCCAAUGAGUUAACAGAGCUCAAAAAGGGCAGGGAAGGGCCAGGGAUGUAGCUCAGUGGCGCCACACCUACAUGGCAAAUGCAAGGUCCUGAGUUCCAUCCCUGGUACCGCCAAAAACAACAACAACAAUCAUUUGAGCUCCCACCAACCAGAAUGGAAAGACUUGACCAUGUGGAACUUACAUUUGAGACCUAAACUUGGAGGCCCAGAAUAAAAGCUAGUGUAGAUCCUUCAAAAGCCCUUAAAAGGAUCAAACUGCUCAAUGAGUAACCUUACAGCCUGCUGGAACAAAGUCAACUACUCUGUAAAAGACUGCAGCAAAAUCCAAGAUCCAACAGCGUUAAAUUCAGAAUAUUUUAGCACCCAAUAAAAAAAUAAAAGAUGCCAUUCAUGGUGGUGAGAUAGGAGAUUAGGGCGUGGCAAAGUUAGUUAGGGAAGUGUGACCUGUUCAUUACAAGAUCACAGGACACAUGCACCCAACAGUUUCCAAAGCCCUGCGUAUGGACUUCUUGGGAGAUCUUGAGCAGAUUUUCAACAGAAUGGACAAGACCUGAAGUCACCCUGAGGCGUGAUACCAUAAGGCUGCAUAUACAUAGAUCAACAAGCAGAAACAUAUGAAAACAAAUUUAUCAGGAUGGUUUGUAGUAUCUUCUUAAGUGCAACAAUGAAGGAGAAAAAUUACAAAAACUGUUAAAUGCUAAUAAAUGAAGAACAGAAUUAUUAUGUAAAUACUUGUGAAUUAAUAUGCUUUAAUAUACCAAAUUAUUUAAUCCAAAAUGUAAGUGUGUUUAAUAUUCAGGAAGGUGAAAUCACUCAUUAGAUGGUGUAUUUUCACCUGCGUUGAAAUUUGUUGUUGUUAUGAAAAUCAGUUUGUUCAGCUCUCAAGUAUUUCUGAAUUUCAUUUCCUUAGUUGUAAAAUAAAGGUAUGCCUUACAUUUUUAUAGCUGUC